UUUAAAGUCGCAGUCAUUUAACACUUAAAUUAACAAAACAGAUUCACUUGUAUUACCUUUUACUUUUCUUUUUCUUAAUCCCAUAGAGUCUGUACCAACACUGAUGCCUGACAAGGAAGAGGUGCAAGGAGAAGACGAGAUGGGAGAAGGAGACGACAGCGAGAUCGGGGAAGGAGAAGACAGCGAGAUCAGGGGAGGAGAGGUCAUGUCAGAGACCAGACUGAGCAACACCCUGCCCCCUGAAAUCCCAACCCAAAUGGAGGUGUCAUCCAGUGGUAUUUCUUCUUCUAUAAAAGGUCGCCACACAACAACGAAGAAGCCUUGGACCAAAGAAGAAACAUCAGCUGUCGAAAGAAGCAUGAGCCGAAAAUUCAUUGAGAAGUUUGUAGUGCCAGGGAAAAAUGACUGCAUUGCCUGCAUCAAUGCAAACCCGGAAGCAUUAAAAGAGCGUGACUGGAGAGCAGUCAAAUUCCAUGUAAAGAACAAGAUCACAGCUCUCAAGAGAAAAGCCUUUAGCCAUUGACCCUGUCUGGGGGGCUUCUGUGGUAUUAACUUUUUAUUCGUCUGUGGCAGACCGUUUUAGUUUCAUUUUUUAUUUAUUUUUAUUUUUGCACAGUAGCUGGAGGAGUGUUGGGAAUCGCGCAUCAAAAAUAAUAGUGCCGUUAACACUGCAAAAAUUAAUAGGCUUAAUAUAAGAAAUAAAUACUUGGUUUGAGCAGAUAUAAGCUAAAAUUAAGUGAAAUAAUCUGCCAGUGCAGUAAGAUAAUCACACUUGGUAAGAUUUCUUAAAAUAAGAAAAAAUAAAUACAUAUUAGGCAAGUGAGAAAUAUCUUAAAAUAAGUGGUGAAACACUCAUUCCAAGUACUGUAUGCAAGUCAAAUAAUCUCAAAACUAGCUUUUCAAUUCUUAUUUCACCUUUUGUUUCUUUCUCAAAUUGAGUGAAAAAAACAUAAAUCCAGAGCAACUUAACAAGCUGUUUCUUCUUAAUUCAAGAGUUAUGAUUAGCUUUUAUCUUAAAUCAAUACAUUUAAAAUCAUACACAGAGAAUAUUGUUAACAGCAUUUAUUUGAAGUGUUUGCAGAUUCCUUACAAUAUUUACAAUCAUAACAUAAUAUUUGCAAAAUUAACCUCUGAAACCCAGAGGUAAGAGGCUAUGACCUCAUUAUCUUUGAUAACACUGAAAUAUCUCAAUCUCAUAAGACAGAACAUGGCUGAACAGCCUGAAUAGCUCUAUUUCUUAAUGAAAGCAUUCCACUCUGCCAUGACUCUUUUGUACGAGCCUGUGGUGUCUCGGUCGUGGAUACUGUCCUGUAAGACCUCUGUCUGAAUGACAGAGAGAAUGGUCGCCACACACUUAGGAUAGGUGAGAUGCAGGGUAUAGUAAUAACCCAUCAGAUACAGCAACCCUUCACCAAGUUCUUCUUUGGCAAAUGUAGUGACAGGAGUGUUUCCAAUUGCCAGAAGACAGCGGGACCCAUCAAAGACCAAAACAGGGCUGAAGAGGGUUCUCUUCUGGAGGUAGAUGGCUGGCUCUUCUGUUGGCUGAAGAAGAAAACAAAAAACAGAAGUUUCUUUAUGGUAUACUAAAAAAGUGAAAAACUGCUUGGGCAAGUGAACUGAGAUUUUUUUAAACACCAUUAUGUACAUCUACAGCUCUGGAAAAAAUUAAGAGAUAGCUUUUGCUGGUUUUACUAUUUAUAGGUAUGCGUUUGAGUAAAAUUAACAUUUUUGUUUCAUUCUAUAAAGUGCUGACAUUUCUCUCAUAUUUGAAAUUAAAAUAUUGCCAUUUAUUGCAUUUAUUUGCAGAAAAUGAAAACUGGUCAAAAUAACAAACAAAGAUGCAGUGUAUUCAGACCUCGAAUAAUGUAAAAAAAAAAACAUGUUCAUAUUCAUUUUUAAACAACACAACACUUAUAUUUUAACUAAGGAAGAGUUUAGAAAUCAUUAUUGGUGGGAUAAUCUCAAUCUUUAAUCACAGCAGUGUGAUUAAAGAUUGAGAG
ensembl:lncRNA